UACCAGCACCCCGAGUGGUCGGGACGUUUAUUGGGCCUAAAGCAUCCGUAGCCGGUUCUACGAGUCUUCCGUUAAAUCCAACUGCUUAACAGGUGGGCUGCGGAAGAUACUAUAGAGCUAGGAGGCGGGAGAGGCAAGCGGUACUCGAUGGGUAGGGGUAAAAUCCGUUGAUCCAUUGAAGACCACCAGUGGCGAAGGCGGCUUGCCAGAACGCACUCGACGGUGAGGGAUGAAAGCUGGGGGAGCAAACCGG
rnacentral:rRNA from 1 species